AGGAAAAUAUGGUAAUUCCACAAAUACCACAUGUGGUAGAAGGAGGAACUAGGAUGGAGGAUAUUGAUGAUGACGGCGAUUCUACUUAUAUGCCUGAAAGUGAAAGUGAAAGUGGGAGUGAUAUAGUUUCCGACUUUGAGUAUUUUGCUGAGAGUGAUAGCCUAAGUGACACAUGUGAUCCAAUAGGUGAUGAAUUCGAGCACAUGAAUAACUUCAUGUGCUCAUGUGAUAGCCUAAGUGACACAUGUGAUCCAAUCGGUGAUGAAUUCGAGCA
rnacentral:lncRNA from 1 species